CCUACGGGAGGCAGCAGUGGGGAAUUUUGGACAAUGGGCGAAAGCCUGAUCCAGCAAUGCCGCGUGAGUGAAGAAGGCCUUCGGGUUGUAAAGCUCUUUUGUCAGGGAAGAAACGGUGAAGGCUAAUAUCCUUUGCUAAUGACGGUACCUGAAGAAUAAGCACCGGCUAACUACGUGCCAGCAGCCGCGGUAAUACGUAGGGUGCAAGCGUUAAUCGGAAUUACUGGGCGUAAAGCGUGCGCAGGCGGUUUUGUAAGUCUGAUGUGAAAUCCCCGGGCUCAACCUGGGAAUUGCAUUGGAGACUGCAAGGCUAGAAUCUGGCAGAGGGGGGUAGAAUUCCACGUGUAGCAGUGAAAUGCGUAGAUAUGUGGAGGAACACCGAUGGCGAAGGCAGCCCCCUGGGUCAAGAUUGACGCUCAUGCACGAAAGCGUGGGGAGCAAACAGGAUUAGAUACCCUGGUAGUCCACGCCCUAAACCGAUGUCUACUAGUUGUCGGGUCUUAAUUGACUUGGUAACGCAGCUAACGCGUGAAGUAGACCGCCUGGGGAAGUACGGUCGCAAGAUUAAAACUUCAAAUUGAUUGACCGGNGNGAGAGNGCGACGACGACACGAGGAGGAGG
rnacentral:rRNA from 1 species